rnacentral:lncRNA from 1 species
GGAGACCAAGCCAAAACAAUAGGAGACCAAACCAAAACAUCAAAUAUUUUAAAAGCAAAAGCUUAACUUAGCUCUAUUAUAUGAUAUCACGGUCAUAUCUAAUAAUAUGUCAGAGGGAUUCGAUUCAGCUGCUACUAAAGUUACAAAAUCUGAGAAUAAAUGCAAAAUCCAAACACUGACAUACAAUUAAUUAAAUCUCCAAUCUCCAUCCAUGCAGUUAAACAGCAAUAACUGAAAACCCUCCUACUAAUAAUAAGCAUCAUGUAUUAACUCUAAAGCCUAAGAAGAAGAAACUUAGUGUCUGUUUGGUAUGGCUUAUUUAAGAGCCAUAAGUGCUUAUUUAAUCGCAUAAGCACUUUUUAAAAAAUUUUAUGGUGUUUGGUUAUUUUUUUAGUAGAGUUUUUUUAGCUUAAAUAAGCUAAUUUACCUCUACUAGCAAAAGCCCAAAAUUUGAGCUUUUGGGAGUAGAGGUUAAAGAGCUUAUCUAAAAAAUAUAUAAUAAAAAAAUAUCAUACAGUUUAAUGAUUCAAAAGUAUUUUUUUUAUUGACAACCAAACACCCAAUGACUUUUUGUCCAAAAACUCUAUUGGUAUAAGCUCUACUGCUAUAAGCUCUAUUGUUAUAAGCUCUAUUUAAUAAGCUGUACCAAACGGAGCCUUAAGAAAAAAUAAAACAGUCUUGUUUGUUGGUGCCAUUUAUUAUUAUUAUUAUCAUUAUUCUUGCAGCAGGCGGCAGCAGCAGCAGGAGGUUGCAGGUUUAAUUUGGAGUUGGUUGUUUGUUUGAAGAGCCAUU